UGAACGCUGGCGGCGUGCUUAACACAUGCAAGUCGAACGAUGAAGCCCAGCUUGCUGGGUGGAUAGUGGCGACCGGGUGAGUAACACGUGAGUAACCUGCCCUUAACUCUGGGAUAAGCCUGGGAAACUGGGUCUAAUACCGGAUAGGAGCGUCCACCGCAUGGUGGGUGUUGGAAAGAUUUAUCGGUUUUGGAUGGACUCGCGGCCUAUCAGCUGUUGGUGAGGUAAUGGCUCACCAAGGCGACGACGGGUAGCCGGCCUGAGAGGGUGACCGGCCACACUGGGACUGAGACACGGCCCAGACUCCUACGGGAGGCAGCAGUGGGGAAUAUUGCACAAUGGGCGCAAGCCUGAUGCAGCGACGCCGCGUGAGGGAUGACGGCCUUCGGGUUGUAAACCUCUUUCAGUAGGGAAGAAGCGAAAGUGACGGUACCUGCAGAAGAAGCACCGGCUAACUACGUG
rnacentral:rRNA from 1 species